GUUGAAUAUAUAUCUGUUCAGAUUCUUCCACCACCUAUUUCAAGGACUGAUUUUGAUAAGGUGCUUGCGAGGCAGCGGCCAACUGUCAGCAAAGCUGAUCUUGAGUUGCAUGAGAGAUUUACCAAGGAGUUUGGAGAGGAGGGCUAAUUGGAUUUGAUUGAAUACCUGAGGGGAAACACUGAAACUCGCGUGAGUACUCAUAGUGAUCGUAAUCUGUAUUUAAUUGAGGUGAUUAUAUAGCAUGAAAUUUAUGACUUCAGAAGCCUAUUUUAAAACCGGAUUGUUCUUGUCCCAUCUUAAAUCUUGAUUAUAGCUAUCCAUUCCGUUCUUCAGGUUUA